GCUCGUUUCCAAGUUAAACUGCUAUACUGGGGAACUGCCAAUGGGUCCUUAAAUCCGUUAUUAUUUAAUUGACGGUUACCACCACUCCGAAUACCCGAAUAAUUUCAAAACUUAUUCCUGGGCAAAAACCCACUUCCGGAAAGGUCCUAUUUUUUAAAAUAAAAGGCCGACCGGCUCCGGCCCAACUCUUUUCUCCACAAAGAAACUUCCCCAAUCCUAUGACCCCUGGGCUACCAAGGUUCCUUUCAAUUUUCGCCCCAUCCACUUUCCAUGGGAAGAAAAAAGGCCACCCUGGGGGUAACCGGUGAACGAAGAUUAAGGUUCCAUUCCCGAAAAGGAACCCGAAAAAUGGCUACCCCCUCCCAAGAAAGGCACCGGGCCCCCAAUUACCCCAUCCCUACCCCGGGAAGGUAUGGCCAUAAAUAACCAUUUCGGGGGCUUCCCGGCCGGGAAUUGGAAUGGAUACCAUCCAAAUUCCUUUACGAAGAACCAUUUGAACGCCAGUCCGGGGGCCACCACCCCCGGAAUUUCCACUUCCAUAACCUAAAUUUAAAUUUGUGGCAUUAAAAAGCCUCUAAUUGGAUUUCCGGUGGGGUGCUGCGGUCCCCCUCCGGUGAGCACUGCUCCGCUCCUCCUUCCUGCCGGGGACGGGCUCCUGGGAUUAACUGUCCGGGACUCGGAUUCCGCGAUGAUACUUUGAGUAAAUUGGAGUGUUCAAAGCAAGCUUACGCUCUGAAUAUUUUAGCAUGGAAUAUCACGAUAGGACUCUGGGCCCUAUCUGUGUUGUCUCGUGAGGACUCGAGAUAAUGGAUUUAAAAAGGGAAAGUCCGGGGGCACAUCCGAUAUUCUGAUUGUCAAGAAGGUGGAAAUUCUUUGGAAUUUACAUGAAGAACGAACCAUACUGGCCUAAAGCAUUGGCCAAGAAAUGCGUUUCAAUUAUCCAGAACGUAACGUUUGGGGCGACUCAUGCCGACAG
rnacentral:rRNA from 1 species